rnacentral:rRNA from 1 species
AGUGAACGCUGGCGGUAGGCCUAACACAUGCAAGUCGAACGGCAGCACAGUAAGAGCUUGCUCUUACGGGUGGCGAGUGGCGGACGGGUGAGGAAUACAUCGGAAUCUACUUUUUCGUGGGGGAUAACGUAGGGAAACUUACGCUAAUACCGCAUACGACCUACGGGUGAAAGCAGGGGAUCUUCGGACCUUGCGCGAUUGAAUGAGCCGAUGUCGGAUUAGCUAGUUGGCGGGGUAAAGGCCCACCAAGGCGACGAUCCGUAGCUGGUCUGAGAGGAUGAUCAGCCACACUGGAACUGAGACACGGUCCAGACUCCUACGGGAGGCAGCAGUGGGGAAUAUUGGACAAUGGGCGCAAGCCUGAUCCAGCAAUACCGCGUGGGUGAAGAAGGCCUUCGGGUUGUAAAGCACUUUUGUUGGGAAAGAAAAGCAGCAGGUUAAUACCCCGCUGUUCUGACGGUACCCAAAGAAUAAGCACCGGCUAACUUCGUG